CCUACGGGAGGCAGCAGUGAGGAAUAUUGGUCAAUGGCCGAGAGGCUGAACCAGCCAAGUCGCGUGAGGGAAGAAUGUCCUAUGGAUUGUAAACCUCUUUUGUCAGGGAGCAAAGUCACCCACGUGUGGGUGUUGGAGAGUACCUGACGAAAAAGCAUCGGCUAACACCGUGCCAGCAGCCGCGGUAAUACGGAGGAUGCGAGCGUUAUCCGGAUUGAUUGGGUUAAAAGGGUGCGUAGGCGGGUUAGCAAGGCAGCGGUAAAAUCGUGGGGCUAAACUCCAUACAGCCGUUGAAACUGAUGAUCUUGAGUGUGCGAGAGGUAUGCGGAAUGCGUGGUGUAGCGGUGAAAUGCAUAGAUAUCACGCAGAACUUCGAUUGCGAAGGCAGCAAACCGGCGCCCGACUGACGCUGAAGCACGAAAGCGUGGGUAGCGAACAGGAUUAGAUACCCCAGUAGUC
rnacentral:rRNA from 1 species